rnacentral:rRNA from 1 species
GACGAACGCUGGCGGCGUGCUUAACACAUGCAAGUCGAACGGAAAGGCCCUGCUUUUGUGGGGUGCUCGAGUGGCGAACGGGUGAGUAACACGUGAGUAACCUGCCCUUGACUUUGGGAUAACUUCAGGAAACUGGGGCUAAUACCGGAUAGGAUCUCCUGCUGCAUGGUGGUGGUUGGUUAGUUUCGGCGGUUGGGGAUGGACUCGCGGCUUAUCAGCUUGUUGGUUGGGUAGUGGCUUACCAAGGGUUUGACGGGUAGCCGGCCUGUGAGGGUGAACGGGGACAUUGGGAAUGAGAGAGGGAGCAGAAGGGAACGGGAGGCAGCAGGGGGGAAUAUGGCAGAAUGGGGGGAAGCGGGAUGCAGCAACGCCGCGUGCGGGAUGACGGCCUACGGGUUGUAAACAGAUGUCGCCGGUGACGAAGAGGGAGUGACGGUAAUGGGUAAAGAAGCACCGGCUAACUACGUG